AAAAUAAUAUAAAAAUAAUAAUAUAUUAAAUUAAUUUUAAAAUAUAAAAAUAAAUUUAUUUUAAAAACAUCUUAAAUUAUCAAAUAUAAAAGAAAAAUUAAUAAAAUAAUUGAUUAAUUAAGUGCCAGCAAUCGCGGUUAUACUUUCAAUUAAAUUAUAUUUUUUUUUUUAUUAAUAUUAAUUUUUUUUUUAUAUUUAAAUUAAUAUAAAGUGAAAUUUUAUUAUAUAAAUAUAAUAAUUUAUUUUUAAUAAAAAUUUUAAAUUUAAAAUAGGAUUAGACACCCUAGUAUUUAAAAAAAAAAAUAAGGUAGUAAAAAUUUUCUUUCAAACCUAUUUAUAAUGGCGGCAUUUUAUUUUAUUAGAGGAACCUGUUUUUUAAUCGAUAACCCACGAUAAUUUUCACUUUAAUUAUAAAUUUAUAUAUCGCCAUCUAAAAUUAAUUUAAUUAUAUUAUUUUCAAUAAAAAAUAAAAAGUUAGGUCAAGGUGUAAUUCAUGUUAAAGUAAAUAAUGGGUUACAUUAAAAAUAAUUUAAGGAUUAUAAUAUUAAAUUUUUUUAUAAAAAAGGAUUUAAAAGUAAUAAUUAAAUAAUAUUUUAUUAUGAUUCUCACAAAAAAUGUGCACAUAUCGCCCGUCACCCUUAUCAAAAGGUAAGGUAAGUCGUAACAUAGUUGAUAUUUUGGAAAAAGUAUCAA
rnacentral:rRNA from 1 species